GAGGUGAUGUCUAGGAUAGUGCAUUUUUAAUUGUUGUGCUUGGAGGAAACAGGACAAAUUCUCUGAACCUCAUCUGACAACUAUAAUACAUUUAAACAUCAGAGGUCGACUAUAAUCUCUUCUGUACAUAUGAACAAUACUGACUAUAAAAUAACACUUGUUCAUCCUAUAUGUUCAAUAUAGAAGACAAACGAAAAGAUAAUGCGCGCCAUUUCCGAUUUCAUAGUAGGGUUUCACAAAGUCAAAGUUGAAGCCAGACACUGAGCACGCAUGAGAGUAAUUGAAAAUACUAAUUAUGGCUUAACGGACAAAAACGAAAUAUCCUGUGUUCGCAAUGGUGGUGCUUAUUGCCACAUUCAGUUCGUGAAAAAAUAUGAACCAAAAUUUAAUAUUACAAACGAUAUAUACAGUUCUCAUUUUCCCUUCAAAAUUCCUCUAAUGUACAAGCGCAAUAUCACACAUACACACACACACACACACACACACACACACACACAUUCUAAUCUAUACAACAUUUAAGUUCCCAGUUCUUAUUUACACAUAUUUGGUAAAACCCUGAUUUCGACAGUUUUUAAAACUCACCUUUCACUUAUACGAUUGAUUGAAAAUACUAAAGAGCAAAAAGACUACCAGCUCGCUCUUUGAUCCAAAACAUUUGACCUAAAAGGCUAAUUUUAAAGUGUUCAAGGAGUGUUCUUUCUCCUGUUAGUUCAUCGUACUUGUUUUUCCUCAAAGUUCUUUACUUAAACAGUUGAAUAUAUUAAAACUAUGGUCCCAAAGUACACAAUGUAAUAUAGUGUAACAAGUAUGGACAACAUGUACAAAUACUAAAAUGCUGCCAGUAACGAAACUUCACAACAUAGAGGUUGAUAACAGACUGAGGGCAAAGGGAGGGCAGUGGGAGGUGUUUAUCCAUGGUUACUGUAGUUUUCAUUACAGUUAGGGUCCAGGAACCAGAUGUUGUUUUGUGAGAAGUUGUUGCUGUUGUUAUGGGAUGGGGGCUGCCUUGCUCUGCUGCUCGUGGAGGCUCUGCUAGGGUUGCUGCUGUGACUCUGAAGGGAAAUGCUACUGGUGGCGUUCACCUGUUGAGCCCCUCUGCUGCUGGGGACGGGCAGAUGCGAUCUGGGUCUCGUCACUCGCUGAGGAGAAGCAUGACUACCGCUUGCCUUCUGUGGUGGAGGAUAGGUCACAUCCACAGCACUCUCUGUUGUAACAGGAUUUGUUUGGGGCUGCGUGACCUUGCCAUCACUCCUCUGAGGACUGGGUGGAAUCGAGUCUGGAAGCAUGAUGAAGUCCUCUUUAAAAAGAGCAAUCU
ensembl:lncRNA